ensembl:snoRNA Gm23033 small nucleolar RNA SNORA17
CUGGACUCUAUAGAGGUGUUGCAGGUCUGCCUGCUGUGUCACAUGCAUGUUCGUAAGUGACAGAUGGGAGAAAGGCUAUUUCUAUGCUCAGUGUUCUGACCUAUAAACAUCUGAAUAAUUAGUAGCCUAUUA